rnacentral:lncRNA from 1 species
UUUUAAUUUAGGGAUAAUUGUUUAUAUACCUCUCAAAACUUCGAAAAUAUCUAAUUUACCCCUUUUUAAUUUUUUUUCUUUCCAAUAUACUCCUCAUAUGUUUCCUCGUUCUUCCAAAAUACCUAUGCAGUUACUACCCGUUAAGUUAACUUGGGUUAAACGUGAGCUAAAUAUCUACCAGAGUUAAAAAAAUCAAAAUGCCUCUUUUACCCUUAACUUAAGGACAAAUAAGAAAUAUUGGUGAUGGUAGAAGGGUAUAUUUAAAAAGAUUAAAAAUUAAAAUACUUUUUGUGCCCCUAACUUAAGAGCAACUAAAAAAAAUUGGUGAUGGCAGAAUGAUAUAUUUGAAAGGGUAAAAUAGUAAUUUCAUAAAGAUAACAGUUAUUGUUAACAGUUCAUUAACAGAAUUUAAGAAUACAUUGAAAAUGGGUUGGAACGUAAAAAAAGUAUUUUUAAUAUUAGCUUUCUAAAAGCGAUAAAUCAGAAAGUCAAAAUUUUUUCAAGAAUAUACAAACAAUUGCCCUUUUAAUUUAUAACAUAUUCAACACUUUUGAAUAACUACUAGAUUUCUAAAA